CUACGGGUCGCUGCAGUGGGGAAUAUUGCACAAUGGGCGCAAGCCUGAUGCAGCCAUGCCGCGUGUAUGAAGAAGGCCUUCGGGUUGUAAAGUACUUUCAGCGGGGAGGAAGGGAGUAAAGUUAAUACCUUUGCUCAUUGACGUUACCCGCAGAAGAAGCACCGGCUAACUCCGUGCCAGCAGCCGCGGUAAUACGGAGGGUGCAAGCGUUAAUCGGAAUUACUGGGCGUAAAGCGCACGCAGGCGGUUUGUUAAGUCAGAUGUGAAAUCCCCGGGCUCAACCUGGGAACUGAAUCUGAUACUGGCAAGCUAGAGUCUCGGAGAGGGGGGUAGAAUUCCAGGUGUAGCGGUGAAAUGCGUAGAGAUCUGGAGGAAUACCGGUGGCGAAGGCGGCCCCCUGGACGAAGACUGACGCUCAGGUGCGAAAGCGUGGGGAGCAAACAGGAUUAGAUACCCGCGUAGUC
rnacentral:rRNA from 1 species